AACGAACGCUGGCGGCAUGCCUAACACAUGCAAGUCGAACGAGACCUUCGGGUCUAGUGGCGCACGGGUGCGUAACGCGUGGGAACCUGCCCUUAGGUUCGGAAUAACUCCCCGAAAGGGGUGCUAAUACCGGAUAAUGUCUUCGGACCAAAGAUUUAUCGCCUUUGGAUGGGCCCGCGUUGGAUUAGCUAGUUGGUAGGGUAAAAGCCUACCAAGGCGACGAUCCAUAGCUGGUCUGAGAGGAUGAUCAGCCAAACUGGGACUGAGACACGGCCCAGACUCCUACGGGAGGCAGCAGUGGGGAAUAUUGACAAUGGGCGAAAGCCUGAUCCAGCAAUGCCGCGUGAGUGAUGAAGGCCUUAGGGUUGUAAAGCUCUUUUACCCGGGAUGAUAAUGGCAGUACCGGGAGAAUAAGCUCCGGCUAACUCCGUG
rnacentral:rRNA from 1 species